GGUACACAUGAUGUUUUAUGCGAUCAAAGUAUGAUCUCCGUGAUUCCACCUAUGUACUGAUGUACC